UAUCCCGUUGUUUGUGUUCAAUUCCUACCCGAGUUUUACGACUUUUAAAAUGAAGGGGCUGAGGACACGCUUAACCCAAAAACCCAAAGCUUUAUUUUUGGUUGUUAUCAGCGGUCACCACUAUGCAUAUAACAUAUUACUACAUAAUAUAAUAGGUAAAAUAAUUUAUUAAAUUAUAUUUUGUGGAGUUUUACUAUUUGUUCGCAGCCAAGUAGUUGUUAUGUAUAGUAGUGUUUAAUGACAACAUAAUAUUUCUUUUGAGUUUGCAGUAAACCACUUACGUGAAGUUGCCCCGCCCCC